UACAGGUAGGCUACUGAGUAUACCCAGUGAUGGCCACCAGUCUGUGGGUGGCCGGCUAAAGAAUUGCUUCAUUUAAAAUAAAUUAUAAUUUAAUGCACCAAACUAAAGAGAAUAAUAGCAUCAAGUCUUAAGUCAAAGAUACAGUUCACUGUAGUGUACUUCCUUUUAAUCUACACACUUAAUCAAGUGUACAGAUUGUACUCAAUGUAUUUUGUUUAAUGUUCCUCAGACUGUAUUCUGGAGAUACCUCAGGCUAGUUAUAUAUCACAGAAGACUGGCCAAAGAUGAACAAAUAGCUCAACAACAGCAACAUUUAUCUUAUUAAACCAAUGAGCUAUGUUAUGUCAUCACACAUGGCCUGAGUAUGAUGAUGUUUAGUUUUUCUCCACCAGGUCUCUGAGUGUGUCUCUGUUGUGAUCUCCCACAUGGGGCCAGUAUGAUGAUGUUUGGUUUGCCUCUGGCCACCAGGUCUCUGAGUGUGUCUCUGUUGUGAUCUCCCACAUGGGGCCAGUAUGAUGAUGUUUGGUUUGUCUCUGGCCACCAGGGGCCCGUUUCAGAAAGCAGGUUUAGUGAAAACUCUGAGUUAGUUAACCCUGAGAUGAGGGAAACUCUGGUUUUUCAGUUUCACAAAGCCAGUUCAGCUUUACUCUGAGUCAGUUACCCUGGCAACAUACUCCGUGAACCUAACCUGCUCGCUGGCAGGUUUUCUUCAACUAACCCCGAGUUUCUCCUGCUCUUAAGUUGAAGCCUGCAGACUGAAGGCACUGGCAGACAUGGCGUGUCCUUUUAUUGAAGAGCCAGUUGAUGUCGAGGCGCAGAUACUUGGAUGUUUUAUCGUUCCCUGAUGAGUUUCCCUGUUUGAGCGUUUCCGUUUCUCUGCAUCAUCAAUAAUUUAUAUAAACAAUAUUCUCAGCCCUCACAUCGCUCACAUGACACAUCGUGGACACGCUCAGUUCCGAGCAAAUUCUUUGUCUUGCACUUCGUUUUUUUCCCAACGGCAGUUUUUUGUAUAACGUCGGUGAUGCAGAGCAUGUGUCCAAGGAAACUGUCUGUCGGGCUGUCCGAAAUGUGACACUUGCACUGAAACGGCUACUAUGCACGUUUGUAGUGUUCCCAAGUCACAGACCAACCAGACUUCUCAAAGAAGAGUUCCACAGAAUUGCAGGGUUUCCAGGUGUGAUUGGCUGCAUAGAUGGCACUCACAUUCCUAUCAUAGCUCCUUCAAUAAAUGAAGGAGAUUAUGUGAAUUGGAAAUCUGUCCACAGCAUUAAUGUACAGGAGAGUUUGAUGGUUAUCUACUCGGAGACAGAGGGUACCCCUGCCAGCGCUAUCUGCUGACCCCUUACCCUGACCCUGGCCCACAGCGACACUACAACUUGGCUCACUGCAGGACACGAGCCAGAGUGGAGAUGACCAUCGGCAUACUCAAGGCCCGGUUCCAGUGCCUUCGUAGGCUCAGGGUCACCCCGGAAAGGGCUUGUGACAUUAUAGUGGCAUGUUUGGUUCUCCACAACAUUGCCACUAUUAGAGGAGAACAAUGUCCUACUCUUUCCCCCAAUGAUCCAGAUAAUAAUCCUGACCCCCCUGCUGAUGCACGAGAUGGAAGAGCUGUUAGAGACAUGAUAUGCUUCAAUCAUUUCUAACUGACUCUGCCUUUUUUCUGUUGGCUAUAAUGGAGGUCAAAUUUUAAGAUAACCAGAAAACACAAAUUUGGAGACUUGUAUGUAUAAAAGGCAUUUAGGUGUUGCUUUCAUAUAGACAAUAUUAAAUACUGGCAGUGUUGGGAUUUUUCUUUGUUUAGCAGAUUUCCCUAAUUACUUAAAUAUAUUUAUCACAUGUUGAAUGCAGCCACUAAAUGCUGUUUAAUGAGGGCAGGCUAAACAACAUCACAAUUGCUUGUACUUAAAUUAUAGUUUGAACUACAUUAAUAUAGUUUGAACUACAUUUUUAUAUUUCAUUUUUAGUUGCAGCCAUGUCCGAUUGGGGCCUGUUGGGUUGCCCCUGUGCGCACAAACACACAUAUGGAAUAUAAUUGUUGAAUAAGUGGAACAUUCAAGAGUAAAAAGAUAUGCUCGCUUUCUGCAUAUGCAGUCAUUAAGAUUUGCAACUCCGCUGGGGAGAAGUAGGAGGAUCGAGGCUUGUUAGUACUUGUUGCCAUGGUGAAUCAUGUUAUCUGUGUUCCAUUGAUGGGGGCUUUUUAUAUCCUCAUGCACGAGCUUCACUCAGAGUUACCUUGACUCAGAGUUGAUUGAACUAAGCGUUAUCACCUGUUCUGAAACCGAAAAUUCAGAGUUUUACAGCUCAGAGUUGGUCAACCUAGAGUUAAGGUUUUAACUUAGAGUUUGUUGAACCUGCUUUCUGAAACGGGCCCCAGGUCUCUGAGUGUGUCUCUGUUGUGAUCUCCCACAUGGGGCCAGUAUGAUGAUGUUUGGUUUGUCUCUGGCCACCAGGUCUCUGAGUGUGUCUCUGUUGUGAUCUCCCACAUGGGGCCAGUAUGAGGAUGUUUGGUUUGUCUCUGGCCACCAGGUCUCUGAGUGUGUCUCUGUUGUGAUCUCCCACAUGGGGCCAGUAUGAGGAUGUUUGGUUUGUCUCUGGCCACCAGGUCUCUGAGUGUGUCUCUGUUGUGAUCUCCCACAUGGGGCCAGUAUGAUGAUGUUUGGUUUGUCUCUGGCCACCAGGUCUCUGAGUGUGUCUCUGUUGUGAUCUCCCACAUGGGGCCAGUAUGAUGAUGUUUGGUUUGUCUCUGGCCACCAGGUCUCUGAGUGUGUCUCUGUUGUGAUCUCCCACAUGGGGCCAGUAUGAUGAUGUUUGGUUUGUCUCUGGCCACCAGGUCUCUGAGUGUGUCUCUGUUGUGAUCUCCCACAUGGGGCCAGUAUGAUGAUGUUUGGUUUGUCUCUGGCCACCAGGUCUCUGAGUGUGUCUCUGUUGUGAUCUCCCACAUGGGGCCAGUAUGAUGAUGUUUGGUUUGUCUCUGGCCACCAGGUCUCUGAGUGUGUCUCUGUUGUGAUCUCCCACAUGGGGCCAGUAUGAUGAUGUUUGGUUUGUCUCUGGCCACCAGGUCUCUGAGUGUGUCUCUGUUGUGAUCUCCCACAUGGGGCCAGUAUGAUGAUGUUUGGUUUGUCUCUGGCCACCAGGUCUCUGAGUGUGUCUCUGUUGUGAUCUCCCACAUGGGGCCAGUAUGAUGAUGUUUGGUUUGUCUCUGGCCACCAGGUCUCUGAGUGUGUCUCUGUUGUGAUCUCCCACAUGGGGCCAGUACGAUGAUGUUUGGUUUGUCUCUGGCCACCAGGUCUCUGAGUGUGUCUCUGUUGUGAUCUCCCACAUGGGGCCAGUAUGAUGAUGUUUGGUUUGUCUCUGGCCACCAGGUCUCUGAGUGUGUCUCUGUUGUGAUCUCCCACAUGGGGCCAGUACGAUGAUGUUUGGUUUGUCUCUGGCCACCAGGUCUCUGAGUGUGUCUCUGUUGUGAUCUCCCACAUGGGGCCAGUAUGAUGA